rnacentral:rRNA from 1 species
CAGUAGCCGCGGUAAUACGUAGGGUGCAAGCGUUAAUCGGAAUUACUGGGCGUAAAGCGUGCGCAGGCGGUUAUAUAAGACAGAUGUGAAAUCCCCGGGCUCAACCUGGGAACUGCAUUUGUGACUGUAUAGCUAGAGUACGGCAGAGGGGGAUGGAAUUCCGCGUGUAGCAGUGAAAUGCGUAGAUAUGCGGAGGAACACCGAUGGCGAAGGCAAUCCCCUGGGCCUGUACUGACGCUCAUGCAUGAAAGCGUGGGGAGCAAACAGGAUUAGAUACCCCCGUAGUCCCUGUCUCUUAUAC